UACGUAGGGGGCAAGCGUUGUCCGGAUUUACUGGGCGUAAAGAGCGUGUAGGCGCCAGACAGGUCCGUUGUGAAAACUGGAGGCUCAACCUUCAGACGUCGACGGAAACCGUCUGGCUAGAGUCCGGAAGAGGAGAGUGGAAUUCCUGGUGUAGCGGUGAAAUGCGCAGAUAUCAGGAGGAACACCGGUGGCGAAGGCGGGUCUCUGGGCCGAUACUGACGCUGAGGAGCGAAAGCGUGGGGAGCGAACAGG
rnacentral:rRNA from 1 species